AAUGAACGCUGGCGGCGUGCCUAACACAUGCAAGUCGGAUGUGCCGCAAGGUGCAUGGCAGACGGGUGAGUAACGCGUGGGGAACCUACCUCUUUGUGGGGAAUAACGUUCCGAAAGGAAUGGUAAUACCGCAUGAGACCAUCGGCUGGGAUGCUGGUGGUGAAACCCGGGGACCGCAAGGCCUGGGGCAAGGAGAGGGUCCUGCGUCUGAUUAGCUAGUUGGCGGGGUAACGGCCCACCAAGGCAUCGAUCAGUAGCCGGCCUGAGAGGGUGAUCGGCCACACUGGAACUGAGACACGGUCCAGACUCCUACGGGAGGCAGCAGUGGGGAAUUUUGCGCAAUGGGCGAAAGCCUGACGCAGCAACGCCGCGUGGGUGAUGAAGGUCUUCGGAUCGUAAAACCCUGUCGUCAGGGACGAAGGUCGCAUGUCUAAUAGAUGUGUGAUUUGACGGUACCUGGAGAGGAAGCCCCGGCUAACUCUGUGCCAGC
rnacentral:rRNA from 1 species